GAUGAACGCUGGCGGCGUGCCUAAUACAUGCAAGUCGAGCGAACAGACGAGGAGCUUGCUCCUCUGACGUUAGCGGCGGACGGGUGAGUAACACGUGGAUAACCUACCUAUAAGACUGGGAUAACUUCGGGAAACCGGAGCUAAUACCGGAUAAUAUAUUGAACCGCAUGGUUCAUUAGUGAAAGACGGUUUUGCUGUCACUUAUAGAUGGAUCCGCGCCGCAUUAGCUAGUUGGUAAGGUAAAGGCUUACCAAGGCAACGAUGCGUAGCCGAACUGAGAGGGUGAUCGGCCACACUGGAACUGAGACACGGUCCAGACUCCUACGGGAGGCAGCAGUAGGGAAUCUUCCGCAAUGGGCGAAAGCCUGACGGAGCAACGCCGCGUGAGUGAUGAAGGUCUUCGGAUCGUAAAACUCUGUUAUUAGGGAAGAACAAAUGUGUAAGUAACUAUGGACGUCUUGACGGUACCGAAUCAGAAAGCCACGGCUAACUACGUG
rnacentral:rRNA from 1 species